rnacentral:rRNA from 1 species
GAUGAACGCUAGCGGCAGGCCUAAUACAUGCAAGUCGAACGGUGUCUUCGGACAUAGUGGCGCACGGGUGCGUAACACGUAUGCAACCUACCUUACAUUGGGGGAUAGCCUUUCGAAAGGGAGAUUAAUACCGCAUAAGACAGUAGCUGGGCAUCCAGCAGCUGUUAAAGAUUUAUCGAUGUAAGCUGGGCAUGCGUCCAAUUAGCUAGUUGGUGAGGUAACGGCCCACCAAGGCAAUGAUUGGUAGGGGAACUGAGAGGUCAAUCCCCCACACUGGCACUGAGAUACGGGCAAGACUCCUACGGGAGGCAGCAGUAGGGAAUAUUGGGCAAUGGACGCAAGUCUGACCCAGCCAUGCCGCGGGCAGGAUGAAGGCGUUAUGCGUUGUAAACUGCUUUUAUACAGGAAGAAACGACUCUUGCGAGAGGCAUUGACGGUACUGUAUGAAUAAGCACCGGCUAACUCCGUGCCAGCCGCCGCAGUAACAC